AACUAGCCCCGAUUGUAACGGAUACCCCACAGCAGGCGUUGGCAAUUGCGGCGGCGCGAGGAGUAUGAGUGGAAAGCGGGAUCAGCU
rnacentral:sRNA from 1 species